GCCAUCCAUCACCGGAGUUCGAGUCUCCACCGGUGGUCUUGGCAUCCGAAGGUGAGGAGAAGAAGAGCAAGUAGCCGCCGGCGUCCUCCAAAGGCAAGGACCACCUUGAGCAUCAUCUUGGAUCUCUUUUUGAAUUUAGGAUCACCAAAUCAGGAGCAGUAGACCCAGGGAUCUUAGAAGACUUCCAGUAGAUGCCUUCUUUGGAAUUAUGUUCUGUGGCUUAUGU